UAUACUCUCUAUUGUCCAGUAUGCCUUGCAUGGCUAGUCUUAGAGAGUCAAUCUAAUGUAUCUCUUCAGUCUCUAUAAAUAGAGACUACGUUUUAUUAAUCUAAACAGAUCUCUUCCUACUCAUCUCUAGAUCUUAAUUAUCUCAUAUAUUUCUUUCUCUCUGAAAUCCUCUCGAUCACAACUGAUUAAUACCUCUCUUCGGAGCAAGUCACUUGUGACUCUAUCACUAAGAUUGAUCUCACUCACUAACUUGGUUUGAAUGCAUUCCAUGUUAUGAAUCAACUUAUGUGUCUAAAUGAUAUAUCACCUAUUGUCAUUUAUGUUUCUUUAUAUUUCUGCAACUAACUAUCUAACCAUCUAACAUAUUAACUUAUUAUUGUUGAGCUUUUAGAUUAACUAAUUCCACAAUCAUACUUGUUCUAACGUUUGUUCAAGUGUGUCUCAAGUUAUUUCUCUCAACAAUUGGUAUCAGAGCCAUAGUGGUUGCUUUUUGAAAAACGAAACUCUGAUUUUUCAAAGGGCCUUCUAUACCAUUGAAGCUCAUUUUUUAAAGAAAAAAAAUGGCACAAGCACUUUCUCUAAACGUUUCCAACAAUGUUGGUGGUUCAAAUAGAGCUCCAAUACUGGCUGCAAAUGAAUACCAUCAUUGGUCUCAAAGAAUGGAAAGAUACUUAAGGAGACUUGGUAGAGAUGUAUGGCGAUCUGUUGAAGAAGGAACACAUGUCCUUGUUCUUACACCUAUUCAAACCGAUGGCGCCACAACCAGACUAUGAAGAGGACAACAUGUCUUGAACCGUCCCACCAAGGAUGAUCUUGAUAAAAUGGAAAUUGAUGCUGUUGCUUUUUAUGAAAUCUCUUGUGGAUUUGCUCCUGACAACUUCGACAUUAUCAUAAAUUGUAAAUCAGCAAAAGACAUCUGGGAUGUUCUCAAGAACUUGUAUGAAGGCUCAGAACAAUCUCAAGAUAAAAAGCUCACAACUGCACUCAAUGAAUUCAACAAUUUCAAAGCUCAUGCUGGUGAAAGUUUAGAGGACUCCUUCAAGAGGUUGAAUCUGAUUGUUACUAAGUUAUCAAAUGCUGGCACCAUCCGCAGUAACCAUGAAACAAACCUUCAAUUUCUCAAUGGGUUAGGAAGACAUUGGACUACUGCUAAGAUGAUAGUUCAAGGAGAUAGAAAGAUUCAUUCCCUGUCUCUUUACAAGCUAUAUGGGGAGUUGCAAGCACAAGAAUCCACUGUACUCAAAGACUGUGCUGACUUCGGACGACCACUUGCUCUUGUAGCACAAGCUCCUCACAACCAGCCUUACUCACCCUCAUAUGACACUACACCGCAGUCGUACGAAGCUGACUCAGAGUAUGAUGAUGAAGAAGAAUUUUAGAAGGCUAUUGCUCUAGUUAGUAAACAGUUCAACCGAUUACCACCUCACUCUUUUUGCAAGAAUCAACAAUUCAAUAAACCUCCUUUCAAUCGUAACUUCAACCUACAAAAAAAUCACUCUCACUAUCCUAAAAGUUCACACCCACAACCGCAAUCUCAAAACACUCAACCAAAGGAGACACCACAGUCCAUGCAAACCUCUGACUCUGGUACCCCUUCAGAAGACAAAAGUGAUAUUGUAAUAUGCCACAAAUGGUACCCCUUCAGAAGACAAAAGUGAUAUUGUAAUAUGCCACAAAUGGUACCCCUUCAGAAGACAAAAGUGAUAUUGUAAUAUGCCACAAAUGCAACAAAGAGAAUCAUUUUGCAAAGGAUUGCAAAGCCAACAUAGUGAAAGAUAGAGCAUUCUACCUUAGAAUGUCUCAAGAAAUGGAAGAAAAGGAAAAGGCUAGGGCGUAUGUGGCGCAUGUUAAAAGAGACCAUCAAGUUUGGUCAUCUGGAGAUGAAGAAGAAAGCAUCAACAACAUCAAAGGGAAAGGCAAGAUCUGUAUGCUAGCAACUGCUGAUGAUGAUGGCUCUACAAAGAUGGAAAAGAACUAUUGCUACAUGGAAAAGGAUGGAACUCUAAGCAUCGUCGAUCAGGUAAAACUCAUGAUCCAAACUCUAAACUAUAACAUGCAUGACUGUCAACCUUUCAUAGAUAAUCUAAAUGACACAUGUGCUGCCGUCCUUUCAGACUACAACAAAGCCUUAGAUGAGAAGAACAUAGCAUCCCAAGAGAUGUUUCAUGUGAGAGGACGACUGGACAACAAAAGACUCAAAAUGGUUAUGUUAGAAAGAGAUUUAGAGUUAGAAAAAGAUGCAAGAAUGUUGAGUGAAACCUAACUAGAAAUAGCUUUGAACCAAAGAGAUUUAGCUCAGAGUGAGAUUGUACGUUUAAAUCUUUUAAUAGAAAAAUUGUUCAAUGAAAGUAAAGCUAUUGAAAAUUUAGUUAAUAAUGGAACCAUGGACAAUAAAUACAAUUGGGUUUGGUCCAAUGGAUAUCCUACCGCAGAGGAUUCCUCACCCCGAUUAAACAAAGAUCGACUUUAUGUCCCUCCGGACCGAGAAUUUCAUUUCCCAGUCAAUGACAAGACUUUUCCCAAAGAUAUCAUAACACACUUCGGUAGACCUCAUAAUCUAAGUAAUAUUUGUGUCAUUGAGGAAAUUGUGCUUGAGGCUUCGGAUCACACAUGUGAUCAACCUCUUAUCUGUGGCACAAUCAGUCCAAAUUUUCAGACUUCAUCUAUUGUUGAUUAAGAAAUAGUCAUAGAAAGUCCCGCAGUCUCACAGGACUUUCCACCCUUGUCCUCAGACCGUAGUACCUCUCACUGAAGUCACGAUUCUCAGAAAAAUCCCAUUCCAGUCACAACCCAGACUUAUGCUACGGUAGCUAAGUCUUCUUUACCAAAGUCUUCAAUCAAAGGUUCAGUGACUCUUCAACCAAUUCACCAUGAACUACCCAUAGAAAAUUUUAAAGUAGGUUAAUGUUCUCAAAAUCCUGAAUAAGUUCUGAUGAGUCAAGGCCUCGGUGUCAAAAUUUUUCUAAGACUUCCAGGAAACCGCAGUUAAACAAUAAUGACUGCGAAUCUCCAAAAACUUUAGCAAAAAAGGCUUUCAAAGAGGAUAUUCGAUCUCGAGGCACAAAUUGACUAAUCUUUUCUAAAAACAAAAGACAUCAGAUUUCCAAAAUCUAAGAGUCUAGAAAAGUUUGUUUUUGCUCACUAUCUUUCAAAAAACUCUCCCAUCAAGAAACCAUGCAAAAAGGAAUGUGCAGUUUCAACAUCCGUUCCUAAUUCAUUUGACAAAACCGAAAAGAAAGAAAGGUCUUUUCAAAACAAUGGUUUUCAAAUCUAUUCCUUAGAUGAUCCAAAAUGGAAGGGUAUCUUACCCACUCCAAUACUUUUGAAAUCACCUCAAAGUUUCAACAAAUGGAAAGACAUUUUACCAAAUCCCAAGAAUAGGUCCAAAGUGUCUACACGUGCAACACAUUCUUCAAGACAAACUUUUUCUAAAUCCAACAACUCUCGUGUCAAAUCUUACCAACCUCGGACCAGUCACAAAUCAGCCACAUCCUUUCGACCGCUGACCAAACAAAGAGCCAAAACAAAAGACAAAAUUGUAGCAUGUCAGUGUCAAUGUAGUUGUUAGAAAAAGUUUUCUCAUGUCAAAACUAACCUUUUUCAAAAACCUCGUAACUCUUCAAAAGGCACUACGCUCCAAAAACUCACAAACACCCAAGACUAGGAUUAAAAGUUGACACAAAACCCUGCAACCUCUGUUCAUGCAUCAAUCAGUAUCUCAUCUAUUGUCCCAGGCUCUAACUAGUUUGGAUGCCUAAACUAACCGUGUAAUUUUCAGGCCUUGUGCAAGGAGGAACAAGAAGAAGAAUGGUUAAUCGAUAGUGCCUGCUACUGGCAGAAGACGGGAAGGUUAGAAUACCUUCGAGAGUUUAGGCCAAUUUGCAACGGUGGAAAUGUCACUUUUGGGAACAAUGCCAAUGGGAUAAUCCGAGGUUACGGUGUUCUCACUAUGGGAAACUUCUCUAUUCAAAAGGUUGCUUAUGUAGAAGGCCUUAAACACAAUUUCAUCAGUGUUGGUCAACUAUGUAAAGCAUGCCAUCGUGUUGAAUUUGAUGACCAAUUUUGCUAUGUAAUGACAAGCGAUAGAAGCACUUGUCUGAUCAAGUCCAGAUCCGAAGGUACUAUGUACCCUCUGGAUGUAUCUUUGAUCAUAGGCAAACUGCAAUUAUGAUUUUUAUCCAAAGCUGUAUUCGAAGUCAGCUGGCUAUGGCACUGCAAGCUCGCUCAUCUUAACUUCAGAUACAUAAACAACUUGGUUACAAGAGAACUAGUCAUAGGUCUUCUAAUCCUCAAGUUCAGCAAUGAUACCUUCUGUCCUGCAUGUGAAUGUGGAAAGAAAUUCAAGGCAAGCCAUCCCAUGGUGAUUGAUUCCUCAAUCUCUGAACCAUUGGAACUUUUACACAUUGAUCUCUGCGGUCCAUCUACCGUAGCUAGUCUUCACCACAAAAAAUACAUGCUGGUUAUUGUGGAUGACUUCACUCGUCUCACAUGGGUCUUCUUUCUUCGACUCAAGUCAGAAACACCGCAUGUGUUGAUCAACUUCAUCAAGGAAAUAGAACUUCAGAUCAAGUUACCAGUCAGACGUAUCUGAAGUGACAAUGGAACCGAGUUUACUAAUCAUCUUCUAAAUAGUUUCUUGGUCUCCAAAGGGAUUUCACAAAACUUCUCAGCUCCUUACACACCACAAUAGAAUGGCGUAGUAGAACGAAGGAAUCGCACUCUAGUAGAAGCUGCCAGAUCUAUGCUCAAUUUUUCAAAUCUUCCUCUCUACUUCUGGGCCGAAGUAGUGGACACAACCUGUUUUGUUCAAAAUCGAAGCAUUUUAUGCAAACGCCUCAACAAAACACCAUAUGAAGGUCUCAACAACCGCAAGCCAAAUGUUCGAUUCUUUCAUAUCUUUGGGUGUAGAUGCUUCGUAAUAAACAACAGAGAUCACCUCAAUAAAUUCGCACCAAAGUCUGAUGAAGGAAUCUUCCUUAGCUACUCCACUAACAAGGUUGCUUAUCGAGUUCUCAUUAGAUGCACAAUGUUGAUAAAUUAAAGCUUCGAUGUAAAUUUUGAUGAUUAUCACAUCCACAACUCCGCUCCGUCAACUGAAACCACCGCAAUUCUAGAAAGUGAUAUUCCUGCCUCUUCGGGCCCAUUAAAUCUAGUUGAAAUAAACUAUGAUGAUCACUUUGAUCCUGUUGAUGCAGCCAAGCUAUCCGAAGUUCUGGUGUCUCUAGAAGCUCAACAACAACAUGCAGAUGUAUUUGGUCCUACAACGUCCGAAGAAGUAUCGCUAAAUACUUCCACCUCGCCGGUUGAGGGGGAAAACUCCACUAUGGACCAUACAUCAACCAUCGAGGUUCCAGUACCAGAAGAUGACGCUCCAAUCCGUAGAGAGUUUCAACCAUCAAACGUUUCUUGGGAUUUGGAUGACGAAAACAUAGAAAACAUUGACACAAGAACAGAUUCAAGGAUUAUCACACUCCCAUCCGCAAUCCAGAGGGAACCUUCGCAGGUUCAAGGCGAACUUCCUUCUUCACUCUAGGGGGAACCUUCGCCAUCUGCCCAAGAUAAAUCUAAUCCCUCCUUCCCAGUUCAAGACACUUCAGCAGGAUGUUCUCAAGUCCAUGGGGAUAUUGAUGGGUUUUAGCCAAAAGAACUUUCCUAUGUGCGCAUGCAAAACCCUAAUGCUUGGAUCUAGGCUUUCUAAUUAAACAUGCUUUGAAUCCAAGACUUCUAAUGACUAUUUAGGAAUAAGAACAAUGUUAAAACAGAUCUAGAAUCAUACCUUUGAGUUCCUUGUUGAUCUUGUUGUCUUGGAGCUUCUAGAGUCACAAUUGUCACUCCUCUAAUGGCUUACAAACACCAAAUAGCAAGGAUGAUGAUUUGGGAGAGAGGAGAGGGGAGGAAAUCGGCCAGGGUUCUCUUACUUUAGAUGAAGUGCCGAUUUCCCUUUGCCAUAGGGUCUAUAUAUACUUGUAGACUCCUUAAGGGUUACAACCUAAACCCUAAUUGGAUAAUCUUCUCUUAAGGCUAUCCAAAUCCAUUCCUUAGAUAACCCCUUGGACGAUUUGAAGCUAUCCUUAGCUUCUAGAAUCCGUCCAAUGCAUAUCUAUAUGGAUUUACAGUCUAAAGUUUAACUAUCAAACAAUUGACAGUUUAUACCCUCUUAUUUAAUUAAUCUCUUUAAGUCACCAAAUUAAUUCCAAUUAAUUCUAUGACUUAUAUUAAUCAAAUAACAAUAUAUUAUUCUUUAUAUUAUUCUCAUAAUAUACUAAUAAUAUUUACUCUCUCUUAAUAAAUCAUCCUAUCAAGUUGCUAUGGUGAAGGCAACCCAAAAGGACCAUGCACAACCGGGUCAAAUACUUGCCUAAUAUAGUUGCAGCCUUAGACACUAUUCCAACAGUCUCCCACUUGGAUAAGUCUAGUAACUAUAUGCACAAGUACAAUUCGGUUUGCAAUCGUAGCUCUCAAAGACGCUGUCAAACUCUGAUCUAAUCAAUCUUGUCCUUUAGAUAAGGGAUCGUACAGUCCUCUGUUAGAUAUCAUGCUGACAAUCCUAUGGAAUGGUUAGUCAAGCAUUUAGGUUUCUCGAUCUCUGAUUUAUUUGACAUAGAACUUAAUCGAACACAUCAAUUCAGUUCUGACCGGGCCCGGCACAUAAGUCAAAUCAAAUCAUCGAGCGGCCGAGAUAUCGCUUUUACCUUCUUAGAUAAAAGUUACAGAUAAACUUCGACUUAUAUGCAUUUACUUAUUCAUUAACCAACUAUACACAACAAUACGUUUUAUAACACCGAGUUACUGAUGCGUUUUCGCAUUAUCAAUGUACAAUCAAUUAACAAAUAACAAACCAUAUAUCUAGGUUUUAAGACUAUAUGAUAUUAUCGUCUUGCGAUCACCCUUUUAUAUCAUAUUCCAUAAGGUGAUUCCAGCAAGCGCGGGUUUGUUCCAAUGCUCAAAACUAGUUCAUAAGCACUCAUGAACGUUGCAGCAACCCUUUGCUAUGUCUAACACCAUUUAGACAAUCUACACACCAAUUCAUGACAAUCUUCAUUCAUAUCUACUUCCAACAUAUGAACGAUUGUGGACAAUUUGAACAAUUCGAUUAUUCCUAAUAAACUCAAUUAUUCUGGAAGUCAAAACAUGCAAAGUGAAACAAUAGUUAAACAAUUAACAUAAGAUAGUAACAUUACUCAUAAAUAAAACUCCUUUAUUUAAUCAUCAAAUGUUAAUUACAUUUAUCUAUUACACGUUUCUAAUACUAUCUAAUCUAUGCUAAUAUCAUCCUUCAGCCCAAUACUCCUAGCAUGCUGCAAGUGCUUAACCCUACUCAGUCCCUUCGUAAGCGGAUCUGCUGGGUUAUCUUCUGAUGAUAUCCUCUUCACUACGAGUUGUCCUUCUUCUACACGAUGUCUAAUGAAGUGAUAUUUUCUGUCGAUAUGUCUUGAUCUACCAUGAUCCCUCGGUUCCUUGGUCAAGGCAACCGCUCCUUCGUUAUCACAGAAAAUCUCCAUGGGCUCCUUUAUGGCAGGUACAACUCCAAGAUCACCGAUGAAGUUCUUUAGCCAUAUUGCCUCCUUCGACGCUUCGCUCGCUGCAAUGUACUCUGAUUCGCACGUUGAAUCAGCUACGGUUUCCUGCUUGGAACUCUUCCAUGUCACUGCUCCUCCAUUUAGGGUAAAGACCCAGCCCGACUGCGAACGGUAGUUGUCCCUGUCGGUCUGAAAACUGGCGUCACUAUACCCUCGCACCUUCAAGUCAUCACUCCCUCCGAGGACUAAGAACCAUUCCUUCGUCCUCCGAAGGUACUUAAGGAUAUUCUUCACCGCAAUCCAAUGUGCUCUGCCAGGAUUCCCUUGAUAUCUGCUAACCAUGCUCAAAGCGAAGGCUACAUCAGGGCGAGUACAAGUCAUAGCGUACAUGAUUGAGCCAACUGCGGAAGCGUAUGGUACUCGGCUCAUUUCUGCUAUCUCAGCUUCGGUACUCGGACUUUGAGUCUUACUCAAUUUGGCAUUACUUUGUAUCGGUAGUUCUCCCUUCUUUGAGUUUUCCAUACUAAAACGUUUUAGUACCUUCUCUAAGUAAGUAUUCUGACUAAGUCCAAUUAGUCUCUUACUUCUUUCUCUUACUAUCCUUAUUCCCAAAAUGUAAGAAGCCUCUCCGAGGUCCUUCAUAGCGAAGCACUUCCCGAGCCAGGACUUAACCUCCUGCAGAGUCGGGAUGUCGUUUCCUAUGAGUAAUAUGUCAUCGACAUAUAGAACGAGGAAGCUUACUAUACUCCCACUGGCUUUGACAUAUACACAAGAUUCGUCUUCGCUUCGUACAAAUCCAAACUCUUUGACUUUCUCAUCGAAGCAAAGAUUCCAUCUGCGAGACGCUUGCUUAAGUCCAUAAAUGGACUUCUCAAGCUUACACACUCUAUUCGGAUGCUUCGGAUCCACAAACCCCUCUGGCUGAGCCAUGUAAACAUCCUCAGCCAACUUUCCGUUAAGGAAAGCGGUCUUGACAUCCAUUUGCCAAAUCUCAUAAUCAUGAAAUGCGGCAAUUGCUAGCAUCACUCUAAUAGAUUUAAUCUUCGCAACUGGUGAGAAGGUCUCAUCAUAGUCAACUCCGGGAGUUUGAGUAAAGCCCUUCGCAACCAAUCGCGCUUUAUAUGUGUGUACGUUUCCAUCCACGUCGGUCUUCUUCUUGAAGAUCCAUUUGCACCCAACGGUCUUACGUCCGGGCACAUAAUCAACCAAAUUCCAAACUUGGUUAUCAUACAUGGAUUGGAUCUCGCUAUCCAUUGCCUCUUUCCAUUUUGCAGACUCCGGGCCUGCCAUGGCUUCCUUAUAGCUAUUAGGUUCAUCAAGAUUUAUUAGUGUACCAUCACUAAUAUACGUGUCCCCUUCGGUAGUAAUAUGAAAACCAUAAAACUGGGGUUGAACUCUAACUCUAUCGGAACGUCUAAGAGGUAAGGAUUCGUCAAUCGGUUCAACCGGAGUUUCCUCCUCGGGUUGAGUGCCAGCGGUAGAGGUUCCUUCAUCUAUCGACUCUUGAAUCUCUUCAAGCUCGAUUUGCCUCCCACUGUCUCCUUGGCUUAUGAGUUCUCGCUCUCGGAAAACUCCUCUCCUCGCAACGAAGACAACAUUGUCCUUCGGUCUAUAGAAGAGAUAUCCAAAGGAUGUCUGCGGGUAGCCGAUGAAAAUACAUCGCUCACUUCGAGGUUCAAGCUUGUCGUGAGUAUCUCGUCUUACGAAAGCCUCGCAACCCCAAACCUUGAUAUGUGCCAACGAGGGAGCUUUCCCUGUCCACAUCUCGUGAGGUGUUUUGGCAACCUUCUUAGUAGGGACUCGGUUAAGGAUAUGGGCGGCAGUCUCUAAGGCAUACCCCCAAAAAGAGAUAGGUAGUGAAGCACGACUCAUCAUAGAGCGAACCAUAUCCAAUAAGGUUCGAUUACGCCUUUCUGCCACACCAUUCAACUGCGGUGUCCUAGGAGGCGUCAAUUGCGAAACUAUUCCACACUCCUUGAGAUAAUCGUGGAAUUCAAGACUUAGGUACUCUCCUCCUCGAUCGGAUCGAAGCAUCUUGAUUUUCCUGCCCAAUUGAUUCUCCACUUCAUUCUUGAACUCUUUGAACUUUUCAAAGGUUUCUGACUUUUGCUUGAUUAAGUAGAUAUACCCAUAUCUACUAUAGUCAUCGGUAAAAGUCACAUAGAAGCGGUUCCCAUCCUUCGUGGUUGAUCUAAACGGUCCACAUACAUCGGUAUGUAUUAGGUCCAAUAGACCCUCGCCCCUUUCACAUGUACUCGUGAAGGGUGACUUAGUCAUCUUUCCAAGCAAACAAGACUCGCAUGUGUCAUCUUCCCUAAGGUCGAAUGACUCCAACACUCCAUCCUUUUGGAGUUGGGCUAUGCGUUUCUUGUUGACAUGUCCAAGACGACAAUGCCACAAGGAUGCUUUAUCCAUACUAGUGGAAGAAUCAAUAUUCAAAACAUCAUUUCCUAAGUUAUCAACAAUCAUAACGGUUUCAUAUAUUCCAUUACAUGGUAUAGCUUCAAAGUAAAAGACACCAUUUAGAUAAGCCAAAAUAGAACCAUUCUCAUUAUUAAAAGAAAAUCUAAAUCCUUGUCUAUAUAAACCAUGAAAUGAAAUGAUGUUUCUUGCCAUUUCUGGCGAAUAGCAACAAUUGUUCAAAUCUAAAACUAAACUAUUCCUAAGCACUAAGGAAUACACUCCAAUCUUGGUCACAGGCGACGAUCUUCUGUUCCCCAUGAUUAGAUUGAUCCUUCCUUGCUCCACAUCCCUACUUCUUCUUAGUCCCUGCACAUUAGAACAAAUGUGAUAACCACAACCGGUAUCAAGAACCCAAGAAAUAGCAUGAUUAGAAUCGUUAGAUUUGAUUGUAUAUAUACCUGCGAAAGAUGGCUUGAUCUUUCCUUCUUUGAUUGCUUGCAGGUAAUCCGGGCAGCUUCUCUUCCAAUGUCCUAUCUUGUGGCAGUGGUGGCACUCUGCCUCCUUCGGGUUAGAGCAGGGCUUGGCGGGAUCAACUUUGGUCCCACUAGAAGAGGCACCAUCUCGGGCUUUCACCUUGCGAUAGUUCUUCGAUGAAGCUUUCCUCUUCUUUCCCUUCCCUUGUCCAAUAGCCAAGACAGGAGCAGCGGGCGGAUUGGGAGUAGGUGCAACAGACUUGUCUUUGAAGUUGCUCUCAGCAACCCUCAAGAGACCUUGGAGCUUGCUUAGGGUGACCUCUUCUUUGUUCAUGUGGUAGGUCAUCCUAAAUUGGUUGUACAUCGGAGGCAAAGAGUGAAGCACCAUGUCGAUCGCCAAGUCUUCACCGAAGUCAACAUUUAACUUGCGGAGGCGGUCAACAUACCUUUGCAUCUUUUGCAAGUGCACGGUAAGAGAUUCUCCAUGACCCAUCUUCGCGGAAAUCAUGUUAGUGAAAAUCUCGUACCUCUCUUGUCUCGCGUUUUGGUGGUACCUCUCCAAUAAGUCUUGAUGCAUCUCGUACGGGUACAUGUCCUCGUAGGACUUUUGGAAUUCGGAGUUCAUGGUGGCGAUCAUGAUGCAAUGUACCUUCGUUGCAUCUCGCUCAUGAGUUUCAAAGGCGGUGAUUUCGGCGGGAGUAGCAAUUUCGGGGUUGAUUUUCUCGAGCUUCUCAUCGAGGACAUACUCCUUAUCCUCAUAGCGAGCAAUGGUGCGAAUGUAUCUUAUCCAUUCGCUAAAGUUCGUUCCAUCGAAGGUGACCUUUUGGCAAAGGCUCAUCAACGUGAAAGAACUAGCAGCAGCGUUGUUUGCGUUCGACAUCUACAAUUAGAAAAGGACAAAGAUAGAUUAGAAUAAGAAUCCCUAAUUAUCACCCAAUAAGAAAAUUAGGGCUAGGAUCCAACAAUAACAUUUACAUACUAGAAAAGGGAUGCCGUAAUCUAACAUGCAAAUAAAUUGAAGGUAAGUGAAUGACGAUUCACUAAUUCUCCAUCACAAAACUUAAACUAUUAGUCCUAAGUGUUUUUGAGAAUUCCUAGGUUCGGAUGAGAUUCAUUGAAACUAUUCAAUGGCAUGUUUAAAUCUCGAUAUGCCCCUCUUGUUUGUGACUGGGAUGCCGAGGAUCACAAAGCGGGUGUGAAUUACCAUGCAAAUUCACAUGGUGCCUUCAUUGUAACAAUCACCUAUUCGAUGUGCCGGUAAACCACACACGCUCCAUCGAACUAUGAUAAACAAUGAAUCACCCUUUGCCACCUUCGCUUAGAACCAAUUAGUGUGCCGGUAAACCACACACGCUCCACUAACAUCUUAGCAAGGUGCAAAGUGUAAUUUCAUGGGAUUGCAUCAAUUCACUUUUCCUAAAGUAACUAGGAUUGGGAAAUUUUAAAAAAAUGUGUAGUUACUUUAUAUUUCUUAUUAUACUUUUAAUGAGAGGAUGAGGUUGCCCUAUCCUACCCGUUCGGCUAACGACCCUCCACCAAUCAAGCAAGCGGUGGGUGUGAGUGUACACCCAUUAAGCGCCAUUUUAUAGGCCGCAACCUUAUACCCACCUUAUAGAUCGGCUUCGUGAAUGAGGCCUACUAACGGUAAGACUAGCAUUUAGUUAUACAUAUAUAUAUUAUUCUAGUAAUAUCAUAUUAGUAUAGGGUUGUAUUUUAAAACUUUUAAAAUCUAGGGUUUGAAAUUUAAGUUGUCUAAAUUAAAACUUUUAAUCACAAAAGUAAAUUUCAAAACAUGAGGGUAGGUUUUAAACAUUUAAAACAUGGAGGAUCAAAUAACAAAUAAUUCCAAUUAACAAUUAAUAUCCUAAUUAUCUAUAUUUGAUUUAUUCAAGAUUUCUUUUAAAGAUAAUUACCAAAAUAAUCAAAAUAAUUAAUUAAUUAUCAUAUAAGGAAAUUAAAUAUUUAAUUAGUUGAUAAUUACCUUUAACUAGAUCAAGAUAAUAGUUAUAUUUAUCAGAAAAACGAAUUAAUGUUGAUCUAAUUAGUUUAUGGUAAGUUAAGAUAAGAUAAACACAAAGAAAUCCCGAAUCUGGCCAUUCCUGACGCCUGGACUCGCCGAGUGCACAAAUGGACUCGCCGAGUCAGGCCUACUCGCCGAGUCCACUUUGAGACUCGCCGAGUCCAUGACUCAGAAACCAAAAAUUCGAAUUUUGCAGGUUUGUUUCAGUUAAUCAAGCAACAAUUUACAGAAAACCAAGCUAGGCUCUGAUACCACUGAUGGGUUUUAGCCAUAAGAACUUUCCUAUGUGCGCAUGCAAAACCCUAAUGCUUGGAUCUAGGCUUUCUAAUAAACAUGCUUUGAAUCCAAGACUUCUAAUUACUAAUUAGGUUAAACAAGAACAUUAAAACAGAUCUAGAAUCAUACCUUUGAGUUCCUUGUUGAUCUUGAGGUCUUGGAGCUUCUAGAGUCACAAAUGUCACUCCUCUAAUGGCUUACAAACACCAAAUAGCAAGGAGGAGGAUUUGGGAGAGAGGAGAGGGGAGGAAAUCGGCCAGGGUUCUCUUACUUUAGAUGAAGUGCCGAUUUCCCUUUGCCAUAGGGUCUAUUUAUACUUGUAGACUCCUUAAGGGUUACAACCUAAACCCUAAUUAGAUAAUCUUCUCUUAAGGCUAUCCAAAUCCAUUCCUUAGAUAAGCAGUGGAGGAUUUAAGCUAUCCUUUAGCUUCUAGAAUCCGUCCAAUCCAUAUCUAUAUGGAUUUACAGUCUAAAGUUUAACAAUCAAACAAUUGACAGUUUAUACCCUCUUAUUUAAUUAAUCUCUUUAAGUCACCAAAUUAAUUCCAAUUAAUUCUAUGACUUAUAUUAAUCAAAUAACAAUAUAUUAUUCUUUAUAUUUUUCUCAUAAUAUACUAAUAAUAUUUACUCUCUCUUAAUAAAUCAUCCUAUCAAGUUGCUAUGGUGAAGACAACCCAAAAGGACCAUGCACAACCGGGUCAAUUACUUGCCUAAUAUAGUUGCAGCCUUAGACACUAUUUCAACAGAUAUGCCCUCUCCAAAUGUAGAGUCUUCUGAUAUUGAAGACAUUCCCUCCACUACAGCUGCUGAUCAUCUGAUACCUCGUCUACAUGUAUGGACGAGAGACCACCCACCAGGUCAAAUUAUUGGCAACCCAUUCGCAGGAAUCCAGACUCGGUCAUCCAAGGACUUAUCACUGUCACUAUGCAGCGUUCAUGUCCUCAGUCGAACCUCGAUCGAUCAAAGAAGCGUUACUCGAACUAGACUAGAUUUCUGCAAUGCAAGAAGAACUGGAAGAAUUCAAAAGGAACAAGGUAUGGUAACUCGUUCCAAAACCGCAAGGCCACACCGUUGUUGGCAUAAGAUGGGUGUUCAAGAAUAAGUUAGAUGAAUCUGGUGUGGUCGUCAAAAAUAAGGCAAGGCUUGUUGCCAAGGGAUAUAGUCAACUUGAAGGCAUUGACUAUGAUGAAACGUAUGCUCCGGUAGCACGAAUGGAAGCCAUCUGGAUCUUCUUAGCAUACGCAGAACACAAAAACAUCAAGGUUCAUCAAAUGGAUGUGAAAAGUGCUUUUCUCAAUGGGGAAUUAAAAGAAGAGGUUUAUCUUCAGCAACCUCCGGGUUUCGAAAGCGUUGAAUUCCCAGACCACUGCUACAAGCUUGAAAAGGCAAUCUACGGUCUAAAACAAGCCCCUAGAGCUUGGUAUGAGACUCUAUCUGAAUUUCUUGUCUCUUCAGGUUACAAAAGAGGAGUGAUUGAUCCCACAUUAUUUCGAAAAGCAAAUGGUGACCAUCUAAUGCUUGUACAAAUAUAUGUGGAUGAUAUCAUUUUUGGCUCAACUGAUCAAAAAAUGGUGGAUGAAUUUGCUAAGCUCAUGACCAACAAGUUCCAAAUGAGCAUGAAUAGAGAGAUUAAUUUCAUUCUAGGACUUCAAGUGAAACAAGUCCCUCAAGAAAUAUUCAUUCAUCAAGAAAAAUACACCUUAGAACCAUUAAAGAAAUACUCAAUGGAUAAUUGUUCUUCAGCUAAGGACCCCAUGGCCUUAGGUUAUAAGAUUUCUGCUGAUCACUCAGGUGAAUCUGUUGAUCACAAGUCUUAUAGAGGUAUCAUUGGCUCUCUGAUGUAUCUCACUGCUAGUCGACCGGAUAUAGUUUUUGCAGCGGGUGUAUGCGCAACGUACCAGGUUGACCCAAAAGUGUCUCAUAUGAACGCAGCCAAGCAAAUCCUAUGGUACUUAAAAGGAAGCAAAACUCUUGGAUUAUGGUACCCCGCAGGAAAUGAUUUCAGUCUUCAAGGAUUUACCGAUGCGGAUCAUGCCAGAUGCAAACUUGAUUGUAAAAGCACCUCAGGUGGAUGUCAAUUUUUGGUUGGAAGACUAGUCAGCUGGUCCUCAAGGAAACAAAACUGUGUAUCAUUGUCUACCGCGUAAGCUGAAUAUGUGGCCGCAGCCAGCUGUUGCUCUCAAGUCUUAUGGAUGAAAACACAACUGCUAGACUACGGAUACAGAAUGCUGCGGAUACCAAUCUUUUGGGACUCUGAAAGUGCCAUAGCGAUUUCUCAUAAUCCUAUUCAGCACUCCAAGACCAAACAUAUUGAACCACAAUAUCACUUCAUCAAAGACCACAUUCUGAAAGGUAACAUUGAACUAAUUUUUGUCCAUUCUCAUGAAGAGAUUGCUGAUGUAUUUACAAAGGCACUUGACUCUACAAAACUCAAUACUUUCUUACAAAUGUUAGGAAUGAUGAAUUCGGAUCCACAAUUCUUUUUGAAUUGAUAGGUACCGCAUACCAUCCUUGGUCUCUGUUGCGGUUCUAGUUGAAGUUAUUUAUGUUAGAUGGUUUUGGUAUAUUCUAUGUACCGCAACCAUAUAUCAUAAUUAUACUUCAAUGGUCCUUAUUGUUUGUUAUUAAUAAUCUUUGCUCCAAGUGUUCAUCUCAGUUCAUCUACCGCAAUCAUCCAUCCGACGUCAUAUGAUCCAUCCGAAUUGAUGUGUCCAUCCGCAGUCACUUUAAUUAAUUUUCAGAUUGUUACAUUCUUUUCAAAAACAAAGAAAAACAUGGUGUGCUAUUUAAUGAUCCUUCAUUAAAUAGAGAAAACAUUAAAGAAAAACAUUCUUUGUGCAUCUGUAUCAUCCUUUUUAAAGCUGUCUCUUCCUAUUACCCUAAAACAUCAAAUCCGUUACAACUUCCCUUUACCCAACGGAUUAAUCUCACCCUCACCACACGUUCACUAGACGUGGUCACAAAUCUGACAUUUCAUUAAAUGCAAACCUAUUUUUUGGUAAAUCCCAAAUUCAGAUUUAAUCCCUCUUUUCUUAAUCUGUGGCUGAGAUUAAUGCUCUUAAUUCAAAAUAAACCCCCAAACGUUUUUACCCAAAUUCAAUCAGGGCAAAAACGUUUCCCGCUUGCUUAAGCCACUAUAAAACCCCUUUCUUCUCCACAAAGAUAAGUUUACGCUCUCUAAACCAUAAAUCUUUCUCUUGCGUUCUACCUUCCUUCUUCAAAGCUUCUUCAAAAUCUCAACAAUGGUGAAAUUUGGUGUAUCCAUGAAAUCUUCCAAGGCAUCUAGAUCAAAGAAUCCCACUGGUUCAGCCUCUCCCUCAAAACAUCCCACACCAACAAUUGCUUCACACAAUUUCAGAGCCGUGUUUAAAGAACACUCUUUCUACAAUGCCCCCACGAAACUGAUGAUCAAGUUAUUGUCCAAUCACCCACUGUUUGGACCCUUCGAUUCAUUCAAUGACGUUGUUCCUCUCUCUACUCUCUUCAAGUGCGCCUAUUCAGCCUAUCGACCGCUCCAAAACUCUCAAUAAGUGCAUGUCAAUCUUGUCAACGAUUCUCUGGUCAUCAUGACCAAGGAAAAAUUUCUUACUGCAAUAAACCUCCUUGUUCAUCCAUCCAUCAAGGUUUUCACUCCAUCAAUGACAGAUAUACUGUCUGCACUGUACCAAAUGGGAUACCAGAAGAAAAUAAGGGGAAUUGGGGAAUUCAAGUAAAACCAAUUGCCUGCGGUCUGGCAAUUCGUCUGUUACUUCAUCAUUUGCAGUCUAUCCGGCAGAACCGAAGGCACAGACAACAUGGGACUAAAACUCCUAGAACUCGUAUGGAGCAUCUUCAUAGGGCAUGAUGUCAACUAUGGACAGAUCCUAUGGGAAGAUUUUCUGCAGUACAUCAUAAAAGAAAGUCCACGAGAGAACCCUACCGAACUCGCCUUUGCAAGGUUUUGGUCUCUCUGCAUCUCCGACCUCCAUGCGAAUGUAGGAAUCAGCAUGGGCAACGACAUCAACUUCCUUAUAACCAAGGAUAUUAAAAAGCACAAUCCCUCAUCUGAUCAAACUAUUUUUGGACCAAUAAGAAGACUACCUACCCACAUUCUUUCUACCCUCGGUAUUUGUCACACCCCGAAACCGAAGGUGGAAACGUUCCGGGGUGGAGGACGUCAUGAGGUAUCGCAACCAAUGUACAUAGUAAGCAUAGUAAACACAAAAACUUACAUUACAUAGAUUCAUUACAUUUGUUUGAAAGUAAAGUAAUACAAGUUUUAUAGAUACAUUAGUCUAAACAAAAGUAAGACGAGACUUCCAUACGCUCCGUCUUCUGCAAAAGAACGCGGGAUACCUGUCUAAGGAGAACCUGAGAAUAGAAGCAGUUUAAAAAUUAGCAUAAAGUUGGUGAGUUCAUAAGCUGUUUGUUUAUGUAAAAAGAUAAUUUUUUCUUUGGUUUUCUGAAAAGUUGUUAUCCAAGAAAAUCCCAUAUUUUCUUCUAAUGACAGUUUAGUUAAACUUCCGAAUUCCGUUCGGUACAACAGUAAAUAGUUAAAUACGUAAAACUCUAGAUUGAAAAACCCUGGGAACACCAUCCAGUACAACAGUAGGUAGUUUUAAUAUAUAAAACUAUAGAUUAAGGAAGAUAUAAAAUCCGUGAACAAAAUUUAUAUUAAUACAUAUUGUGAGUCGGAUAACCAUGCUAAUAUGACACAAGACCUCCUUGACGUUCUUCAGGCGUCGGAUGGUAUCCAGAAUUUGUCACCCCAGGCGUGCCCGCCUAACUGUAGCUAGCAGUUAAGGUGUGGGAUUGUCAGUCCCGAAUAGAUCUAUUCACAAAUUCCACGCUCUACCUCCAGGAGACUCUAGUUAUACUUCUGGGGUGGAUUUACUGAUAACCCGAAGGGUUUAAUGAAGACAAAUCUCACAAGCUAGUAUUAAAUUAUUCAUGGUGUACUCGGUCGUUAUCAAACAUCGUAAUCGUUUUGAAACAUCAUACAGUAAAAAUAAUUGAAUACAAAGAUAUUAUCUACCAUGAUACUCUAAAUUAAACAGAGAUAAAGUGAAUCAGACAUAGUUUAUCUAUUAACCUUGCAUGAAAUCUGUACUCGUAAAACAAGAACUGAAGAUCCCAAAUUAUUCCCAUAAUAAUUUGAUAGUUUUGAUUGUUUCUUACAUUGUAAUUGAAAUCUACUUAGUUAUAUUCAGAAAAACAUCCCUUAUGCUCCGCAUGAUACAAAAGGGGUAAAGAUAUCUAAAAGUUUUCCAGAUAUUUAUAGAUUUAUAUCAGUUUUAAGUUUCUAAAAACAUUUAUAGUUUGCUUGUAUUCCCCUGUGAAAACAUUGAAAAAGACUGAAAAAGGCGUAGGGGUAUGAACUCACUGGUCAAGAAAUGUGUCGGCUAGGAAGCUAAGUGUCAGUUCGAGGCUUGAAAACACGCGAGGUUCCUAUGUAAUAUGAAGAGAUACAUAAUUUGUAUCUAAUUAGACCUUGAUCUAUUAAUUAAAUAAGAAUAAACACUUCUAGACGCGAAAACACUUCAAUUCAAGUGUUUGGAGUGACCCGGGUGGCAUCUAAGGGUGUGUGUGGCUUGAAUAAGGAGUUUUCUCUUCAAGAGUAAACUCCUAAUGGAGUUUUUGGCCUAAUGACCAACUCCCCAUGAGUUUACGGCCAUAAACUCAUGGUGGGGGUGCUCUUGGGUGCUAAAUGGUCUUACAACUCUUGUCGGGUAAUGCUAGGAUCAAAUCUAGGGCAUAGGAAGUGAUUUAACUAUCAAAGGGACCAUUUAAUGGAGUUUAUGGCUAUAAACUAGGUGUUUACGGCCGUAAACUCUCUCAUACCCAAUCCUUAUGUGUUUUAGUGGUCCAAGAUUAAUCACAUGUGAUUCUAACUCAUUUUACAAGUCAUAGGAUGAAUUUAAGGCACCAUUUGACCCAUUUAUAGGAGUUUACNAUUUAUAGGAUUUUACGGCCCAGGAACCCAUCAUUGGGGGGGGGGGCGUUUACGGCCGUGAACUCCUAAGGGAGUGGUUUUUAUCAAGUUUAAGGUCCCUAACACAUUUGUGGUUGCUUCUAGACUUUAUUCCAAGGCUUAGGAGGUGGUUAAGGGGCAUUUUAACACCAAAAAAGUGAUUUACGGCCUAUGAAAGGGUGUUUACGGUCCAAGCAUGCUCUUGGGCCGUAAACUCAUGUUUACCCCUUAAAUGAUGAGUUUUUGGUGUUCCAAGUCCGAUCUUGAAAGGCCCUAAGUCAUAUCUAAGCUCUAAAGGUGGUUUGGAAGGGUUUUGAGGCUCAAAAACCCCAUUUGUAUGUGUUUGUGUCCAAGGGAUGAUCCUGGGCCGUAAACACAUGUUUAUGGUGCUUUUUCAUAAUUUAAACACGAAUUUGAAGGCUAAGGAUGUUAUAAUAUGAGCUAGGAUGGAUUACAUACCUAAUUGGAGCUUGAAAGGGAGUGAUUUUUGGAUCAAAAGCUUAGAUAUGUAGAGAGAGAGAGAGAGAGAGAGUAGAGAGAGGUUGAAAAAGCUUCAAAUGAAGUUCUUUGAACUUUAUAUAUGGGUCGAGUUUGAGACACGGUGGAAUUCUACUCGAUACUGACGUUUACCGAGGCUUUUGGUCGUACCCGAUUAAGUGUUUGUAACCCGACGUGGUCGUAAAUAAAAAUUAUCCAAUUAAAUAUCGAAAGUGUUUUCACGUGUUUCUAACGUGUUUGGAUACUUACGAGGUCAUAAUAAAAGUCUUAAAUUAAAUGACCUAAUCCAAAAUGUUAAUGGGAAAAUUGAAAAACAAACGAGUUUUACCGACGGGAAUGAGUUACAGCGACGGAACAAUUUGCGGGUUGUCACAUUAUCCCCCCGUUAGAGGGAAUUUCGUCCCGAAAUUUAAAAAUUAAGAUACAGAUUAUGGAAUUGGAUAGAGAUGCGGGUAUUUCUGCUUCAUCAAGUCUUCGCAUUCCCAUGUGAAUUUGAGUGCCCACUUAGCAUUCCAGCGAACCUUCACUAUCAGGAUGCGGAUUAGUUUCGUACGUUUGAUCUCUCGAUCCAUGACUUCGAUUGGUUCUUCCAAAAAGUUCAGGUUUUCGAUGAUCUUGGUCUCAUCAAAGGGAUUACUAGGGUUUCAUUGGAUAGGCACUUCUUAAGAAUAGAGACGUGGAAUACAAGAUGUAUGUUGCUAAGUUCUGAAGGUAGUCGGAGUUUGUAGGCUAUGGGAUCGAUCCUAACGAGGAUCUAAAAAGGUCCUAUGUACCUCAGUUUAAGCUUUCUGUGCUUUCCAAAGCGUAUCGCACCUUUCCAGGGCAAGACCUUCAACAAGACAUGAUCUCCGACCUGGAACUCUAAUGGUUUUCAUCAUUUAUCGGUGUAGCUCUUUUGUCUAUCUCGUGAAGCUUUCAGUCGUUCUCGGAUUUGGAUGAUCUUCUCGGUGGUUUCACGGAUGAUUUCGAUACUAGGGAGAGUAUAGUCAGGCUUUUGACUCUUGGCUAGCUGUGUGUCCCCUACUUCAUCCCAGGACAAAGGGGAUCUGUACUUACGACCGUAGAGGGCUUCGAACGGAGCAGUCUUGAUACCGGUGUGAUAGCUGUUGCUAUACGAGAACCCAAUCAAAGGAAAAUGUGUAUCCCACAACUUUACGAAUUAAAUAACACAUGCUCUCUGCAUAUCAGCUAGGGUCUGAAUAGUUCUCUCACUCUGUCCAUCUUUUUGAGGAAGGUAGGCUGUUCUCAAGUCCAGCUUAGUUCUGAGAGCUUUCUGAAGGGACUGCCAAAACCUUGAGGUAAACCUGCCAUCUCGUUUGGAGAUAAUGGACAUAGGUACACCGUGCAGUCGGAUUAUCUCUUGGAUGUAGGCUCGUAUAAGUCUUUCCAUCUUGAUUGAUUCUUUAAUCGGAAGGAGGUAAGCAGAUUUUGUCAAACGAUCGACAAUUACCUAAAUGGUAUCGUACCCACUCGAAGAUCUGGGUAACUUGGUGAUGAAAUUCAUGGCAAUCAUCCCCUAUUUUCAUUUACGUAUCUCGGACUGCUGGAGCAGACCCUAGGGCUUUUAAUUGGGCUUCUCGGAUCUGUACUGAUAAGUGGGAAUGGAUGGUCAUCGUCAAUGUCUUCGCCUUGCGGCUUGAACUCUCCUUUUGGCUCAGGGUAUCUGCUACCACAUUGGCCUUGCCGGGAUGGUAGCGGAUUUCACACUCAUAAACACUGAGCAUCUCUACCCAUCGCUGCUGCCUUAUGUUUAAGUCUUUCUGUGUCAGAGUAGUUAAGGAUUUGGCUAUUCUUGGAAAAAUUCUGGAUGAACCUGCGAUGGUAGCCAGCGAGACGCAAGAAUUGACGGAUUUCUGUGGGUGUUUUCGGUGCCGACCAAUUCUCUACCUCCUUGAUCUUGGAAGGGUCCACGGGUAUGGCUUCUUCGCUUACCACGUGACCAAGGAAAGUGGUUGGGUCGAAGGGCAUCACUACGAACUCGUAGUGUCCAUAUCGAGUCUUGAAUGCCGUCUUGGAAACAUCAUUCUCAUGAACUCGAAGCUGACGGUACCCGGAUCUAAGGUCUAUCUUCGAGAAGUAGCUGGCUCCUAAAGUUGAUCGAAAAAGGUCGUCUAUUCGAGGAAGAGGAUAUCGGUUUUUGACUGUCAAUUUGUUCAACUCGCUGUAGUCUAUGCACAUCCGAAAGAAUCCAUCUUUCUUUUUCACAACAAUACCGGGGCUCCCCAGGGUGAGGAACUCGGUCUGAUGAUUCCUUUACUAAAUAUCUCACUGAGCUGACUGGAUAACUCCUGCAUUUCUGCUGGCGCUAAUCGAUAUGGGGGCUUGACUACAAGGGUAGCUCCAGGAAUUAGGUCGAUGCGAAACUCGACUUGACAUUCGGAAGGAAUUCCUGGAAGCUCUUUGGGAAAGACACUAGGAAAGCUACAGACUUCGGGGAUGCUCUCGAGGUCUUUAACUUCCCAUUUCUCGUUGAUUACAUGAGCUGGGAAUGCAUAACACUCCUUUCGCAGAAGCUUUUGAGCUUUGAUGAAAGAAAUGAUCUGAAAAUUGGAACUAAGUUUAUCAACGUAGAUUUAUGAGAGUCUGACCAGUGGGAAGAUUAAGACGGAUGGAUUUUUCGUAGCAAAGGAUAUCUGCAUGAUUGGAACUUAACCAAUCCAUGACAAUGAUAACAUCAAAGCUCUCUAUGGAUACUGGCAUUUGGUCGAUGGGAAGGGAAUGAUCGUUCAGGAUAAGGGUACAGCCUAUGAAUCUAUCGUUGUCGUGUUCUUUCUCACCGUUAGCCAUCUCGACGGUAAAUGUUUCGGUUACUAGACGAGGACUAUGUCUAAGAAGACACUUGAAGGAAUGACUAAUAAAAUUUCUUUGGUACUAGAUUCGAAAAGGAUGCGAGCAUAAGAAUUGUUCGAGAAGAAAUGUACCCACGACGUCGGUGGGAUCGGGGACUGCCUCCUCCUGCUUCAUAGCUAGAACUAUCCCGGCGUUGUUGGUGGUUGCUGCUUUGGGGCAGUUUCUAUUGAAAUGCCCGACUUCUCAACAACCAAAGCAGGCCUGAUCGGUACUCGACCCGAAAGCUUGACUGGUUGGUUGAGCCGAUGCUUUGUAGUUUCGCGCAAGGUGGCCCUUCUUGCCACAAUUGUUGCAGAACUUUUCACGACACGGGCCAGGGAUAUGAUGGUGAUAAUUGCACCUAUUGCACCAAGGGAGGUUACCAGUAUACCUAGUGAUAGGUUCUUGAGUUGAAGAUGCAGCGGCAGGAGUAGUAGCAGCUUGAAUUUCCACCGCUUUGUGCUUCUUGGAGGGUCCUUGUGAACUCUGACCCUUUCGCUUUUUCCAGAAAACCUUCUUACUCUCAUUACGCUCUUUCUGGUGCUCUUGAUCAUCUUCAUGGUUUUGGGGAUAGGCAUUACUUCCUGGUCCACUGGACCUGUCGGGGUUCAAGAGCGCCAUUACAGUUGUCACUGCGGAAGUAACAGCUGCCUGAAAAAGGACAGGGUCGAAUUGAGAAGGAUAUGGUGGCGGGGAGUUGUUGUUCCUUGAGCUGGGUCUCUUUCUUGGAGGCAUCUUGAUCUAAAAAUAUUAGGAAAAAGAGGAUGGUAAGUCCUCUGAAUUGAAUUAAGAGAUAUGAAACAAGAGAUAUCUCAUUAAGACAGAUAAAGGAUUCCAUUAAGCGAUAAAGCAGGAAAGAGUUAUCAAAGCAGAUAAACUAUCGCUAAAGGAAUGAUUGAGGAGCAACUCUGGAAUGAGGAUUUCUAUAACGAAUUUGGUUCUAGAAAUACUCCCAUAGUAUUUCAUGUUUCGCUGCGACGACGGCUCGUUGUUUGGGUAUUGGGUAUGUUUUAGGCAUGCUGGACACCACAGUCACUCCCAAGCACAUGCUGGCCGUGUCUCGAAUGAAUAUAGUUGAUAAGGCUAUAUUGACCAUAGAAACGACUACAUAACUACCCAGGUUUAACCGCAGUGUACAACACCCAUUUACUUAUGUUUUGUUCUACUCGUAAUUACGGAAUCUGGCGGUUGGGUAUACUUGUAUACUUUUGAAAAAUACUUAUAUUUUAAAGUAUACUUUUAGUUUAGAGCACUUUGGACCUUUAGUGUUUAUAGUCUUAUACCAUGUAAGGUUUGGUAUACUAGUUCACUAUAAACAAGGGCUCUGAUACCAAUCUGUCACACCCCGAAACUGAAGGCGGAAAUGUUCCGGGGUGGAGGACGUCAUGAAGUAUCGCAACCAAUGUACAUAGUAAGCAUAGUAAACACAAAACAUUACAUUACAUAGAUUCAUUACAUUUGUUUGAAAGUAAAGUAAUACAAGUUUUAUAGAUACAUUAGUCUAAACAAAUGUAAGACGAGACUUCCAUACACUCCGUCUUCUGCAAAAGAACGCGAGAUACCUGUCUAAGGAGAACCUGAGAAUAGAAGCAGUUUAAAAAUUAGCAUAAAGUUGGUGAGUUCAUAAGCUGUUUGUUUAUGUAAAAAGAUCAUUUUUUCUUUGGUUUUCUGAAAAGUUGUUAUCCUAGAAAAUCCCAUAUUUUCUUCUAAUGACAGUUUAGUUAAACUUCCGAAUUCCGUUCGGUACAACAGUAAAUAGUUAAAUACGUAAAACUCUAGAUUGAAAAACCCUGGGAACACCAUCCAGUACAACAGUAGGUAGUUUUAAUAUAUAAAACUAUGGAUUAAGGAAGAUAUAAAAUCCGUGACCAAAAUUUAUAUUAAUACGUAUUGUGAGACGGAUAACCAUGCUAAUAUGACACAAAACCUCCUUGACAUUCUUCAGGCGUCGGAUGAUAUCCAAAAUUUGUCACCCCAGGCGUGCCCGCCUAACUGUAGCUAGUAGUUAAGGUGUGGGAUUGUCAGUCCCAAAUAGAUCUAUUCACAAAUUCCAUGCUCUCCCUCCAGGAGACUCUGGUUAUACUUCUGGGGAGGAUUUACUGAUAACCCAAAGGGUUUAAUGAAGACAAAUCUCACAAGCUAGUAUUAAAUUAUUCAUGGUGUACUCGGUCGUUAUCAAACAUCGUAAUCGUUUUGAAACAUCAUACAGUAAAAACAAUUGAAUACAAAGAAAUUAUCUGGCAUGAUACUCUAAAUUAAACAGAGAUAAAACUGAAUCAGACAUAGUUUAUCUAUUAACCUUGCAUGAAAUCUGUACUCGUAAAACAAGAACUGAAGAUCCCAAAUUAUUCCCAUAAUAAUUUGAUAGUUUUGAUUGUUUCUUACAUUGUAAUUGAAAUCUACUUAGUUAUAUUCAGAAAAACAUCCCUUAUGCUCUGCAUGAUACAAAAGGGGUAAAGAUAUCUAAAAGUUUUCCAGAUAUUUAUAGAUUUAUAUCAGUUUUAAGUUUCGAAAAACAUUUAUAGUUUGCUUGUAUUCCCCCCUGAAAACAUUGAAAAAGACUGAAAAAGGCGUAGGGGUAUGAACUCACCGGUCGAGAAAUGUGUCGGCUUGGAAGCUAAGUGUCAGUUCGAGGCUUGAAAACACGCGAGGUUCCUAUGUAAUAUGAAGAGAUACAUAAUUUGUAUCUAAUUAGACCUUGAUAUAUUAAUUAAAUAAGAAUAAACACUUCUAGACGCGAAAACACUUCAAUUCAAGUGUUUGGAGUGACCCGGGUGGCAUAUAAGGGUGUGUGUGGCUUGAAUAAGGAGUUUUCUCUUCAAGAGUAAACUCCUAAUGGAGUUUUUGGCCUAAUGACCAACUACCCAUGAGUUUAUGGCCAUAAACUCAUGGUGGGGGUGCUCUUGGGAGCUAAAUGGUCUUACAACUCUUGUCGGGUAAUGCUAGGAUCAAAUCUAGGGCAUAGGAAGUGAUUUAACUAUCAAAGGGACCAUUUAAUGGAGUUUAUGGCUAUAAACUAGGUGUUUACGGCCGUAAACUCUCUCAUACCCAAUCCUUAUGUGUUUUAGUGGUCCAAGAUUAAUCACAUGUGAUUCUAACUCAUUUUACAAGUCAUAGGAUGAAUUUAAGGCACCAUUUGACCCAUUUAUAGGAGUUUACGGCCCAGGAACCCAUCAUUGGGGGGGGCAUUUACGGCCGUGAACUCCUAAGGGAGUGGUUUUUAUCAAGUUUAAGGUCCCUAACACAUUUGUGGUUGCUUCUAGACUUUAUUCCAAGGCUUAGGAGGUGGUUAAGGGGCAUUUUAACACCAAAAAAUUGGUUUACGGCCUAUGAAAGGGUGUUUACGGUCCAAGAAUGCUCUUGGGCCGUAAACUCAUGUUUACCCCUUAAAUGAUGAGUUUUUGGUGUUCCAAGUCUGGUCUUGAAAGGCCCUAAGUCAUAUCUAAGCUCUAAAGGUGGUUUGGAAGGGUUUUGAGGCUCAAAAACUCCAUUUGUAUGUGUUUGUGGCCUAGGGCUGAUCCUGGGCCGUAAACACAUGUUUAUAGUGCUUUUUCAUAAUUUAAACACGGAUUUGAAGGCUAAUGAUGUUAUACUAUGAGCUAGGAUGGAUUACAUACCUAAUUGGAGCUUGAAAGGGAGUGAUUUUUGGAUCAAAAGCUUAGAUAUGUAGAGAGAGAGAGAGAGUAGAGAGAGGUUGAAAAAGCUUCAAAUGAAGUUCUUUGAACUUUAUAUAUGGGUCGAGUUUGAGACACGGUGGAAUUCUACCCGAUACUGACGUUUUCCGAGGCUUUUGGUCGUACCCGAUUAAGUGUUUGUAACCCGACGUGGUCGUAAAUAAAAAUUAUCCAAUUAAAUAUCGAAAGUGUUUUCACGUGUUUGGAUACUUACGAGGUCAUAAUGAAAGUCUUAAAUUAAAUGACCAAAUCCAAAAUGUUAAUGGGAAAAUUGAAAAACAAACGGGUUUUACCGACGGGAAUGAGUUACAGCGACGGAACAAUUUACGGGUUGUCACAGUAUUGAGUCCGAUGAUGUCUCAGAUCACAUUGAGGCUACGGAAGGUACUGCCCCAUACCCUCCUACCCCGCCUCCUGCAACCCAAUCCGCAAUUCUUGAUCGCACUAGUACCGCAGUCCCAUCCUCCACAACUCUCUCCAACAUUUCUUUAUCCCAAAGACGCAAGCAGAAAGUCUCUUCUCAUCAUGGCCCUCGCAACACCAAGAAACAAGGAAAUCCUAAAAAGGAUGCUUCCAAGCCUUCCAAGCCCUCCAAGAAAAGAAAAACUCCACCAGUGAUCACUAUCGUCGAACCAAGUAGACGUGUCUCCAGCAGUGACUCUGUUGAGGAUGAUCAACCUAUUGCAAUCCUCAAGAAAUGCAAAACCGAUCCCACUAGCCAUAUGCGUGACCGAACUGAUACCUCAGCCUCUCAACAGGAUCUGGAGUCCUUGGGAUGGCCGCACAUCCAUUCGAAACAACCAUCCUAUAUCACUCAGGCGCAAGCAGUGCGUCUGAUUCACCGCAACGUGGAGGCUCCCGCUAGGUCAAUCCCAAGAGGAUGGAUCAGGCUCCCGCCCUAAGGUCUCCAGGGCUUCCCUUCUUCAUUUCUUUAUCCCUGAGGAUUUGCACUCCAUCCUAUUGUCUGUCACCCAAACACUUCAAACACAAUCCCAACCGCAAGGCGAUUCUUCAGCCUUUGUCAGAACUGAGCCGAGGCCAGACUUGACUUUAGGUCAAGGAGAUGAAGGAAGCUCAGGAAAUCCUACUCUGCUUACAUCAGUAACAGGUGGUUUAGGCAUGGUGAGCAAAAAUUUGCAAGGAUCCAUGAACCUGAGGGACACCUCGGUGCGCUUUCAAGGAAUUGACGAUAUUGAUUUAAAUGACUCAUGGAGUAAGUAUCAGCCAUCCAACGAAGCCGAAGCCAAGAAAUAUGCCGCUUUCCAUAGGCCAUUCCAAGCACGAAAAGCAAGUCAAACCAAGUAGCUUCAGCAGAAACAACAAGAAAUUUUCUCUGUGGCUAUGUAUUGGGCAGACGCAAUCUACAAUGCCAAUACUGUAGCUACCUUCUGCAAAGUACAUACCAUGAUGGACAACAUGGCUGAUACCAUCCGCAAGGCUCAAGAGGCAACUGUUGAUCAGACUCCAUCAAAGCCUCCUCCAUCUCCAACUGUCCAAGACUCCCAAAAUGCAGGCACCGAAAUCGAAGUUAGCUCUGCUCCUACCUUCGGUUUUGACGAUGUUGAUCUUCAAGAGGUCAAUCAACCAAGCUCUUCGGAUGAUGACCUGAUGAUGUAUGUUGAAGAAGAAGAAUCUAGUGGCUCUCAGCACUCCACCUCCUAGCCAAAAGAGAAGAAAAAGAAGAAAAAGAUGGCCGUAUCAAGAAAAGAAUUUCUCAAUCUUCAAUCCAAGGUUGAUCAAAUCCUGGCCGCAGUCAAGUCUACUCAAUCGCAAACUGAUGACAAUCCUGUGCCAUAGUCCUUAAUCGAAAGGAUUGAACGACUAGAAGCAAGGGAACGAAUGGCUACUGAGAGAAUCUCUCUCAAAGUUGAAAUGGGGAUAAGGUCCCUUGACAACAAUCUUCAAGCGGAUCACAAGGAGUUUAUGGCUGUUGCGGAGUGCCUUAUAUCUGAGGUAUCCGCAAUAAAGGACAAUUUGUAGGCAGCCAUUGCGGAUCAAUCUUCUCGGUUUCAGAAACUGAUAGAUGAGACUCAUACUGCAUAUGAGUCCACUAUUUUAGUUCUCCAUGCAACCAUCAACAAACUUCAACGCUCACUAUCAUCCAACUUCCAUGGCCCCGAGAUUCUCCAACUAACAAAGGAGAUUCACCGACUGUUAUUCAACACCUCCAUUCCUGAUAACCAGCAACUGGCUGAAGUUCUGAAAGCUCACUUCUAGGAGGUUUGUGCUAAAGUUGAUGGCCUUAAGCAAUAUAUUGAGGAGUCUCCGGGUCUGAACUCCUCAAGAGGGGGAGGUGAAGAAGAAGACCAUCGAGAAGAAGAAUAUAAAGAAGAACAUUAUUCCAACACCGCUUCUCCGAAAUUUCCUUCACCGCAACACCACUCUCCACCACCGUAACAAAAAAUCAUCCCUUCCCUUAAAGACCUGAAACUCCCCCACACUUCAAGAAACAUGCGGAGCACAUGUCCUCUCCAAGCUAAAAUGACUCCCCUGUUAUGAAGCAAAAGAAAGCUGAUUGGAAAGCAGCUAAACUUGCAGAGCUCAUUUGGAGAGAGUGCGGUUUUGACACUGUGAUGGAUGAAUCCCUAAUAAACUCCUGGAUCAAUCCCCACUGCAGACUCGUUGAUGACGACUACAAACCCUAUCUUACAUAUGUUGAACCUCCUUCAGAUGGAUACUGGGAUGUUCCUAUCUCCCCAAACGCUAAAUACUUCACUGUAUUUGAGCAGUUUGACCGCAACCUUCCUGAUCACAAGAGAAUGCUAAUGGAGUUCGAGAGACAUAACCAAUUUUAUGCCAAGCAUGUGUCUCCCAUUGAGAAGAUCUAGUCCAACGACACACCUUCAGCAGUCAAGAACUUCAAACUGUGCAAAAAUAUGAAGGAUGAGUUUGUGCAAUAUGCCCUCACAAGAAGGAAUCCGGACUAUGUCCGCACCCAAGCUGACUUCCCCUGCAUGAACCCAGAAGAAAUCUUCCUGAUAGAAAAUAUGUUCCAAAAUAAGUGUGAAAAGCAUCCGAAGAUGAAAAUAGCAUUUGAUAGAGAAAGUACUUUUCUGAAAGAAACUGUGUGUGACAUCGCUAAGAUCGAUGCGGAGAUCCACCCAAUCCUUUCCAAAAAGAUUGAUCUACCUCCUCUUGAUCCCGCACCGAUGCUAAACGAAGGCUAUGAGGAAAGAACCCUUGGUGCUCCAAACUUUCCUGAACUAGGAGUCAUCUUCAAAAGGAAGACUGAUCAAGUCAAGUACUUCAUCUCCAUGUCCUCCAUGAACCGCCUCACGAAGAAACAACUUGAAAUCUGUCGAACUGCAAUGGAAAAAUCAAAGCAUACGACUGCCAAAGUCAAGUUCGAGAUGUUAAGAAGGAUCACCUGGUUGGAGAAUGUCAGGAAAUUUUGGUGGAUCCUGAUCAAGUUCCUUAAACUUGAUAAGUGAAGACAAUUAGAGGUCACUUAGGGGGAAAUUGUUGAUACAUGAAGUGACCCUCUUAAUUUUAUCUACUGCAGGCUACAGCUCUCUGCAGUCAAGCUCCUUCAGCGAUCACAUCCGAAGUCAUCAAGCUACCGCAGUCCUUCAUUAUGUACUUAGUCUAUUUUGUAUCUAUUUCUUGUAUACUCUCUAUUGUACAGUAUGCCUUGCAUGGAUACUCUUAGAGAGUCAAUCUAUUGUAUCUCUUCAGUCUCUAUAAAUAGAGACUACGUUUUAUCAAUCUACACAGAUCUCUUCCUACUCAUCUCUAGAUCUUAAUUAUCUCAUAUCUUUCUUACUCUCUGAAAUCCUCUCGAUCACAACUGAUUAAUACCUCUCUUCGGAGCAAGUCACUUGUGACUCUAUCACUAAGAUUGACCUCACUCAUUAACUUGGUUUGAAUGCAUUCCAUGUUAUGAAUCAACUUAUGUGUCUACUUGAUAUAUCACCUGUUGUCAUUUAUGUUUCUUUAUAUUUAUGCAACUAACUAUCUAACCAUCUAACAUAUUAACUUAUUAUUGUUGAGCUUUUAGAUCCUUUGAGAUUAACUAAUUCCGCAAUCAUACUUGUUCUAACGUUUGUUCAAGUGUGUCUCAAGUUAUUUCUCUCAACAAUAUCAUACCUUUGAUGCUAGCUCUUCCACGUUCCUGAAGAAGGAUUCUACUUUGAUUAUUUACAAUAAUAAUGAAAAGGUAUGUAACCCUACUUUGAUAUGAAUUUCUAUUAGGAUUCCUUGAUAUUCAUAGUUAGUUGCAUUUAAUAGAGAAAACUUAUAUCCUUUAUAGUUUGCAUGUGAACUUAAGGGUUUAAGUGUUUUUGCAUCACAUGUAAAAUUUUAUAACCUAA
rnacentral:lncRNA from 1 species